ACUGGGUAGCUCAACUGCGUUAGAGCAUCUCGUGAAAACGAGGAGAUGCGGGUUCGAUUCCCGUCCAGAAACA
rnacentral:tRNA from 1 species